rnacentral:rRNA from 1 species
GAUGAACGCUGGCGGCGUGCCUAAUACAUGCAAGUUGAGCGAACAGACGAGGAGCUUGCUCCUUUGACGUUAGCGGCGGACGGGUGAGUAACACGUGGGUAACCUACCUAUAAGACUGGGAUAACUUCGGGAAACCGGAGCUAAUACCGGAUAAUAUUUCGAACCGCAUGGUUCGAUAGUGAAAGAUGGCUUUGCUAUCACUUAUAGAUGGACCUGCGCCGUAUUAGCUAGUUGGUAAGGUAACGGCUUACCAAGGCAACGAUACGUAGCCGACCUGAGAGGGUGAUCGGCCACACUGGAACUGAGACACGGUCCAGACUCCUACGGGAGGCAGCAGUAGGGAAUCUUCCGCAAUGGGCGAAAGCCUGACGGAGCAACGCCGCGUGAGUGAUGAAGGUCUUCGGAUCGUAAAACUCUGUUAUUAGGGAAGGACAAACGUGUAAGUAACUGUGCACGUCUUGACGGUACCUAAUCAGAAAGCCACGGCUAACUACGUG